GAUGAAGAACGUAGCGAAAUGCGAUAAGUAGUGUGAAUUGCAGAAUUCAGUGAAUCAUCGAAUCUUUGAACGCACAUUGCGCCCCUUGGUAUUCCAUGGGGCAUGCCUGUUCGAGCGUCAUUUGUACCUUCAAGCUUUGCUUGGUGUUGGGUGUUUGUCUCGCCUUUGCGUGUAGACUCGCCUUAAAAUAAUUGGCAGCCGGCGUAUUGAUUUCGGAGCGCAGUAUAUCUCGCGCUUUGCACUCAUAACGACAGCGUCCAAAAGUACAUUUUACACUCUUGACCUCGGAUCAGGUAGGGAUACCCGCUGAACUUAAGCAUAUCAAUAAGCGGAGGA
rnacentral:misc_RNA from 1 species